rnacentral:tRNA from 1 species
GGGGGCGUAGCUCAGUUGGGAGAGCACUUCCAUGGCAUGGAAGGGGCCGAGAGUUCGAGUCUCUUCGUCUCCA